UGUUACUCUGUAUGGGCAGAUGCUUGAAGCCUUCUGAUGUGAGCCAGACAGAGCUGUUUGCACCAUCUGUAUUAGGGCUGGACACUGCAGAGGAAAGAACUCAGCAGCACUUCCACUUUACCUUUGAUUCUUCUAAAGAGGGGCAGAUGGUCCUUUCUGGACCCUACUGGACCAGCCCCACCAAGGAAAUAGGGGGUAAAUAGAACCUUUUACAGGUUCUAAGUUAGAAUGGGCACUGCAUUCCCAAGUUGGUUAAAACCAGUGAGUGGCACAAGAAAUGGUUCUUGCUGCAAAGCAUGCUGUGCAGUACUGCCUACAGCUGCCUUAGAAGGAUGAAAGGUUGGGGCAGCCCUGGGAGCAUUUGACACUGGGUCUGGGAGUCUAAUUAUGCCAAGCCUGAUGAUGAGACUCUUAAAUCAACCCUUCUAGCAUUUUAAUUAAUGCAAUCAUGCAUAAGACUGGCAGCAGAA